rnacentral:rRNA from 1 species
GAUCCUGGCUCAGAAUCAACGCUGGCGGCGUGCCUAACACAUGCAAGUCGAACGAGAAAGUGGAGCAAUCCAUGAGUAAAGUGGCGCACGGGUGAGUAACACGUGACUAACCUACCCUUGAGUGGGGGAUAACCUCGGGAAACCUUGGCUAAUACCGCAUAACACCUACGGGUCAAAGGAGCAAUUCGCUUAAGGAGGGGGUCGCGGCAGAUUAGCUAGUUGGCGGGGUAAUGGCCCACCAAGGCGGUGAUCUGUAUCCGGCCUGAGAGGGCGCACGGACACACUGGAACUGAAACACGGUCCAGACUCCUACGGGAGGCAGCAGUGGGGAAUUUUGCGCAAUGGGGGAAACCCUGACGCAGCAACGCCGCGUGGAGGAUGAAGUCCCUUGGGACGUAAACUCCUUUCGACCGGGACGAUUAUGACGGUACCGGAAGAAGAAGCCCCGGCUAACUUCGUGCCAGCAGCCGCGGUAAUACGAGGGGGGCGAGCGUUGUUCGGAAUUAUUGGGCGUAAAGGGUGCGUAGGCGGUUCGGUAAGUUUCGUGUGAAAUCUUCGGGCUCAACUCGAAGCCUGCACGAAAUACUGCCGGGCUUGAGUAUGGGAGAGGUGAGUGGAAUUUCCGGUGUAGCGGUGAAAUGCGUAGAUAUCGGAAGGAACACCUGUGACGAAAGCGGCUCACUGGACCAU